AUACUUACCUGGCAGGGGAGACACCAGGAUCAGGCAGCUGGUUUUCCCAAGGCAGGGUUCAUCCCCUGCACUCUGGGUGUCCUGAUACCUGGGAUUUCCCAAAAUGUGGGAAAUUUGACUGCAUAAAUUUGUAGUAACAGAGGACUGCUCUAGCAGGGGCCUUGG